CCCCAUAUACCCCAUAGUAACAAACUGGAUCGCAUAACCCCUCCGUGUUUAACAACAGCCUCUGUUUCAGACACCCAUCUCUCCGUGUAUCCAACACAUAUCAAAUUUGUACACUUCCCUUGGCGGAAAUCUUCGAUUAGACGGUUUGUUGUUUGUUACACACUUCGGCAGCAAACAAGAGCUCCUCAUACAUCAAACACCUGAAAUAAUGUGCUGUGGAGGCCUUCUUUGCGGAGGAGACAACACAUUUGUUAUCAACAUGUUUUACCAGAUUUUUUGGAGAACCUUUUGUUGUUGAUCUAUGUCACGAUCUCUUGGCAAUUUUUAUGAUUUCAACUGAAGUGACCACAUCUGAAGUUGCAGGAAAGCUCCAUGGGCUGCUGCCUUUGCUGUUAUGUAUCUGUUUCAUCAUAAUGAGGUGCUGUCAUCCUCAACGGAUUUUGUUUUGCCAUCCCUACAAUGUGCCGACUAAAUGUGAUCCCAAGUUUGCUACCUGACACCUUGGUUAUCGAACAAGACGAUAAGAAGAAAGCAAAAAAAUAUAUAUACAUUUCUAUGUAUCCAUAUGGUGUAGUUUGUAAGGAAUGUUGUGUUUUGCGUGAAGGCAACUUCUGCAGAACUCCAAUUCCAUCUCUGGUUUCUGACGCUUAUACUUGGUGAAUAUAGUUCGUUUGCCCUAUGUCAGAUUCCGCUUCCUCUCCGGGCUUUUUGGACCAUUGAAGAAAAAUUCUGAUUUAUUCUACGUGUUAAGAACAAAUCUUCGCGAGUUUUCCUAAAAGAUGUGAAAUUGAAACUAGUCCCUCUUUUCCCCGGCAAUGGAAACAUCAUGGCGGACUUCACAUAAUUGGAACGUGCAGGAAUCUAGGGUGAGCAACUGUCAACAGCCACUACAUGCAGCAAGGCAGAAACUCACAAGAGAAAGACGCGCGAGUUUUGAAGAAGCCAACAGCAGGCACGCCGUGGAACACCCACCUACCCAACCCAUAGAAAUCAACAACCCUGGGUGAUUCAACCCAAUUUAUAGGGUUGAGACGAGAUAUUUUAACACACGCUGAGACCGAGAGAAUAUGCCACAAAUUUCCAUGCAUUACACAUGAUUUCAUUCUUCACGUUGCUCGUCCCGAGGCAACUUGUGCCAACAAUUAGGGUGUAUCUGAGUCAAGGGUUGCGUUGGCACAGCAACUGAUGCACUAAUACAAACACACACACACACACACACACACAAAAAAGAAGAAAAAAAAUUGAGACGAGAUCUCUCGUGUGUGUCUCGAAUCCGUCGUGAUUGCGUCGCCGUUGAAGGAAAAUCUAAAUACAACCCCCUCAAAUUCUCUCCCUUCAAUGAGGGCGAUGGUUCCAGAACUGGCACCUUUCUCCAAAACUGGCGCCUUGCUCCUAUGUUGCUCUUCACGCAUCGAGCUGCCGACAUUAAUUUGGCAACAGGGGAGAGAGCGAAGCUGGUGAAGGCUUAGUUAUUGGGGUCCAUGUGGCUCAACCCUUGUUGCCUUCCACUAAUUGUGCCAUUAGGGCUUGUCAAAAUAUUAGAAACAUUCAUGGGUUGUGGGUAUUCUAGGGUUUUGGCUACCUCCUUUGGUAAGCAUCAAUAAGUGGCGUUGGAAAGAGGUCUUUUUCUUGUGUGGGUAGACCAAUAUAGAGUUGUUCUUGUGUUUUAUAUUGCUCUAUAUUUUUCUUAUUUCUGUU